CUUUGAGGGACCAGCCUUGUGAUUAGACACAAACUAAAUAUCAGGAGAUGUUCUGUGAUCAUGAGGAGGUGAAGACGGUCUCUCCUCCUCUGCUCUCUCCUCAACAUCCUUUGACCAACCACCAUCAGUCUUUGAAAAAUUCAUGUGGUGCAGUAUUUGACUGUUGAUGGUGUCAGAAUGAGAUAAUCUGGCAACUGCCUCCCUCUCAAAACUGACUUCAAACCUCCUAAAGACCAGGAUGAGUGCCAUACCAUAAGGCAAGUGAGCCUUAGACCUGUUCAGGGUCUCCCUCAUGGCCUUAAACAUUAACGCAGGAAG
rnacentral:lncRNA from 1 species